AGCUGGUGGCCUCAGUUUUUCUGAAGAAUAUUCCUGCAGCAUGCUUAAGGACCAAAUGGGUGAGGUUCUUCUGAUCAGAGCCAACAUGCAGGCCUGGGCCAGGAAGAGGAAAGCUCUUCAGAUGCUGUUCAUCACAUUUCUCCCCUUUGACACCUGGGACAUCAGCACUGUGAGCUGCCUUUCCUCAAGUUUUUAUUGCCUUUCAGCAUGGAACUGAAGUGAUUGUUCAUACACUUUAACAGGAAACAUAUAUGAACUCUGGAACGGACAGACCACAGCCUAGAGUAGAGAGACAAUCCAGAUAAAUGCUAUAGGGGGCAACAAUAGCAUACCUUUUAAUGGACUUGACUUGCAUACCUUGCAUUAUUUAUCCCUAUCUGCACAGGACAUCCUUGAGGAACACAAAACACUCUGGUUCUGAAAGCCCAGUUAUGCUAUCCAGGUUCUGUCCAGAAACCACGUCCUCAGUCUAGGGAUGGACCACUCUGACAUCCCAGAGAAACUGUGAAGCGGGAAUGGAACCUCACAGCAUCUGCAGAUUGCUCAGUGGCCAAAAUAAUAUGAACAUCUUUGAGGAAAUGAGAAGGAAGGGAAGGCAUCCCCACUGUCUUCCUCAUCAAUGGUGUUUUUUAGAGCAAUCUUUCUCCAGCCUCUCGAGUGGCAGAGGUAACUACCAGUUAAAGGAAAUGUCAGCAGGUCAUUUAAUGACUUUCCCUCUCUUCUAAGUGUUUGGCUCUUAAUUAUACAUAGAAAGAUACACAAGAGAUUAUAACAAGAGGAAUAGCAGGCAGCCAAAACCAAACUAAUUUAUUUAUUGCAUGUGACAUAUGGCAACAUAAGACAAGAUCUCUGGCUUAUGGGCAUUUUGGCAAGACACAGGCUGGAUCCUAUGGCAACGCCUUGUUUGUACAGCUUCCAUUUCUGCUGCUCAGUCCUGUUUUUUCUUUCAUGUCUCAUCUGUAGGCCUUCAAAGAGAGGACCUUAACCUUCCUUGGCUGGUUUUAACUUAGACAUUGCUUAGGCAUAUGCCCAUGGGUAAGAACCAUCCUGCUUCAAGGAGAUACAGCGUCUUAGAAAGCACUUUUGCCUGAAGUGUAAAUGGAGACAGUGAUGUUUACCUCUUUUAUCCACCUCAAAGUGUAGUGUGAGGGAUAGAUAAUGUUUUAAAGUGCCAUCUAAUUGUUGAGUGUUUUUCUUGUCAUCGGGUAAAGAACACAAGAGCAGCCAGUCUGGCUCAGAUCACCCCUCAACUUCCAACAUGGCCAAGACACUUGCCUUUACCCUUGUAUAGCCUUCAAUUGUUUCCCAUUGAGCCAAAAUAACAAUAAAUGGUUGCUUAUUCCUUUAACUGCCAUUCC